rnacentral:rRNA from 1 species
UACAGAGGCCUCGAGCGUUAGGCGGAAUCACUGGGCUUAAAGCGUGUGUAGGCGGACUUCUAAGUGCCUUGUGAAAUCCCACGGCUCACCCGUGGAACUGCUGGGCAUACUGGGAGUCUUGAGCCACCUAGGGGCGAGCGGAACAAAUGGUGGAGCGGUGAAAUGCGUAGAUAUCAUUUGGACGCCAACGGAGAAAUCAGCUCGCUGGGGGUGUGCUGACGCUGAGACACGAAAGCCAGGGGAGCGAACGGG